AAAACUUUCAACAACGGAUCUCUUGGUUCUGGCAUCGAUGAAGAACGCGGCGAAAUGCGAUACGUAAUGUGAAUUGCAGAACUCAGCGAAUCAUCGAAUCUUUGAACGCACAUUGCGCCCGCCGGCAUUCCGGCGGGCAUGCCUGUUCGAGCGUCAUUUCAACCCUCGAGCCCUGCUCGGUGUUGGGGCCCCGCGGCCGCCGCGGGCCCUGAAAAGAAGUGGCGGGCGCGCCUGGACCCGUAGCGCAGUAAUACACCUCGCUCGCGGCGUCCCGGCGCGUGCCGGCCGUAAAACCCCUUUAUCUCAAGGUUGACCUCGGAUCAGGUAGGGAUACCCGCUGAACUUAAGCAUAUCAAUAAGCGGAGGA
rnacentral:rRNA from 1 species